UCUAAAGAUGCAAUGUGAUUUAUUCCCAAUUCUUUUAAUGUCAAAGUGAAGAAAUUCAACCAAGCGCAGAUAAACGACGAGAGUAACUAUGACUAUCUUAAGGCAGCUAGAUGUUUCGUCAUCUAAUUAGUGACAUGCAUGAAUGGAUCAUUAACGAGAUUCCCCACUGUCCCUAGCUACUAUAUUCUAGAGAAACCAAAUCCAAGGGAAUGGGAUUGGAAGAAAUAGCGGGGAAAGAAGACCCUCAUGUUGAGCUUGACUUUAGUCCUAACCCAUUCAUAGUUUGGGAAAAUUAGGU
rnacentral:ncRNA from 1 species